rnacentral:rRNA from 1 species
UACGGAGGGGGCGAGCGUUGUUCGGAAUCACUGGGCGUAAAGGGCGCGUAGGCGGUCAUGUAUGUCAGGUGUGAAAUCCCUAGGCUUAACUUAGGAAUUGCGCUUGAAGCUGCAUGGCUAGAGGCUGGGAGAGGAAAGUGGAAUUCCUGGUGUAGCGGUGAAAUGCGUAGAUAUCAAGAGGAACACCUGAGGUGAAGACGGGUUGCUGGGCCGACACUGACGCUGACAGCGCGAAAGCCAGGGGAGCAAACGGG